rnacentral:lncRNA from 1 species
GGAAAGAUUAGCAUAUUAAAUUUAUAAGGGAUUUUAGGUCAAUCCACACAAGGGAUGACAACCAUAUAAUUGAUAACACAAAUGCCAAAUCCAAACUCACUGGGGCAUCUAAAAAAAUUUAGACCGCAUCCAGAACUCCAAACUCUCUGAGGAUUUGGUGGGAUGUACAACUUUCUUCGGUGCUCGCGGGGGAGACAAUCCUGAAAAAUA